rnacentral:rRNA from 1 species
UACGUAGGGGGCAAGCGUUGUCCGGAAUUAUUGGGCGUAAAGGGCUCGUAGGCGGUUUGUCGCGUCGGGUGUGAAAACCCAGGGCUUAACUCUGGGCUUGCUUUCGAUACGGGCAGACUAGAGGUAUGCAGGGGAGAACGGAAUUCCUGGUGUAGCGGUGAAAUGCGCAGAUAUCAGGAGGAACACCAGUGGCGAAGGCGACUACCUGGCCUGUUCUUGACGCUGAGGCGCGAAAGCUAGGGGAGCAAACGGG